rnacentral:rRNA from 1 species
ACUCAGAUCACGUAAUUCUUUAAAAGUCGAACAGACUUUCCCCUAUUAGCUUCUUCACCAAAAGUAAAAUUAAUUCAACAUCGAGGUCGCAACCAUAACUAUUAAUAAGAACUUGUUAAUUAAAUAACGCUGUUAUCCCUAGAGUAACUUAUAUUCUUUUACUCCUAUUUUCCUAAAAAUUAAUUUCUUCACUAAUUGCCCCAAUCUAAAAAUUCUAAAUUUUUAAGCUUCUAGGGUCUUCUCGUCCCAAAAGAUUAUAAAAGCAUUCUUACUUUUAAUUUAAAUUCAAAAUUAUUUUAUAAAACCUCCUUCUUAGUAACUACCCUUCAUUCCAGUUCCCAAUUAAAGAA